GGGGAUGUAGCUCAGAUGGUAGAGCGCUCGCUUAGCAUGAGAGAGGCACGGGGAUCGAUACCCCGCAUCUCCA
rnacentral:tRNA from 1 species